AGUGAACGCUGGCGGUAGGCCUAACACAUGCAGGUCGAACGGCAGCACAGAGGAGCUUGCUCCUUGGGUGGCGAGUGGCGGACGGGUGAGGAAUACAUCGGAAUCUACUCUGUCGUGGGGGAUAACGUAGGGAAACUUACGCUAAUACCGCAUACGGCCUACGGGUGAAAGCAGGGGAUCUUCGGACCUCGCGCGAUUGAAUGAGCCGAUGUCGGAUUAGCUAGUUGGCGGGGUAAAGGCCCACCAAGGCGACGAUCCGUAGCUGGUCUGAGAGGAGGGUCAGCCACACUGGGAGUGAGACACGGUCCAGACUCCUACGGGAGGCAGCAGUGGGGAAUAUUGGACAAUGGGCGCAAGCCUGAUCCAGCCAUACCGCGUGGGUGAAGAAGGCCUUCGGGUUGUAAAGCCCUUUUGUUGGGAAAGAAAUCCAUCUGGUUAAUACCCGGGUGGGAUGACGGUACCCAAAGAAUAAGCACCGGCUAACUUCGUGCCAGCAGCCGCAGUAA
rnacentral:rRNA from 1 species